rnacentral:lncRNA from 1 species
CUGCUGGCUCCAUGGCGGCGGCGGUGGCAGACGUGGUAUAGUUGAAAGGUGGUAGGAAGCGAAAUGAGAAUGAUUUAUUAACAGUGAGCUAAUGACACGUGCUAACAAGUGGUUAUUGAGACAAGCGCCUUCGCGACAUGACAGUUUCUGAUGGUCGAGAGUUCGACGAAGGUCCGUUUGUUUAAGAUUUUGUUCAGUGGCAGUCCAACAACACGUCUACAUGCUAUUCUUCUGAAGCUGGAUGUGUUACGACCUUCGUAGCACUUAGGGCGCCUGCCGGUGAACGAGGAAUGUUUGCGAAAUUUUGCGAAGCUACGCAGGCGACGGGCGGGCCCCGCACUGGGUACGGAUGGAGCACUGGAAGUCCAGCCAUGAAAUACCAACAGGAUAGCUCUUCGAGAUUUUUCUUUUAAACAAAUUCUAUUACACAGAACAAAUGAUGCGGAUACAUGGUCUGUGUUUGCAAAAUGGUUAUGCAAGCAUAGAAAGCAUUAUUGCUAAUCGGGUGAGCCGUAUCAGAUCUAAGUACGUUCCCCGAACAAACGGGAUGCGCAAUCGACGUUAGACUUUCAAAACCGAGCGAAAAGACAGAAAUCCCUGCUCCGAAUAUUAACGCUUACAGUCCAUCAUCCUUACUUAACGUUCCAUGCACCGCGGAGCUAACUCUUCAUCCGUUUCCUUCCUUACAAUGCACAUCCGUCAGGGCCAGAGUCUUUGUGGCAAUCUUUCAUAUUCAGCACGCAAUGAACCCUUCAUGGACACCAGCUGCAUUAGCCUGGCUUGUCGUCCUCGCGGCAGCCUGGGCAAAUGGCCCAACGCGAUUUAAGUAUGCUGCUGCUUGCGGCCAAGAAAGUGGCAUUCCAAAACUGUCAUAUCAUCCCCUGGUUUCGUUGUAUUUGGUUUGCAUACAAGUCGACGUGGAUACUACCUGCUGUGACCGCCGUAUCAGAAGACACUUUUCCUGUACGGGCGGAACCAACAACAGCGAAGUUCAAAAAACCCGACUAGUAGCUAAAACUCAGCAUUCAUAGAGUUAAACGUCCCCGUCCGUGACUUGUACAUAACAAUCCAAGCAUCUCCUAAGCGUCUUUCUCCCCCUUCGUAAGGCCAUCGCGUCCACCAACGCACGUCUUACAUCCGCCCAGUACAGUGCCGUUGAAGCUGUGACGAGUAAUAUGAACGCUUAAGUAAUUUAUGAACAUCCGCUGCGUUUGCCUAGCAUUGUCGUAAAGGAGGUCGCGUCGGCAUCAGGCCAUCAACGUUGCGCCCAGGACAACACUUGCUGCAGCCAAGAAACAGAAAGUAUAUCUCUAUUCGUUCAUCCCCUUGGUCUUAGGGUUGCCCCUAAGACGACGUAGAUACCACCUCCUGACACCGCCGUACCGGAAAGCACUUUUCCGGUACGGGCAGAGCCAGCAGCAUUCCAGGUUCAGAAUUGAACCCAAAGGCAGAAAUCACCAUUCUGAGAGUUGAACGUCGCCAUCCAUGAUUUAGACAUACCAUUCCAUGGCCUGUGCAUGCGCGUCCGUGUCCUUCACUACGUUGCCAUCACGUCCACCAACGCACACUUGACAUCCGUCCUGUCCAGAGCCGUCGUCGCGAGCUUCGACAACAUGAAUGUAAGCAACAUUCGGAACAUCCGUCCUGUUUGCAUGGGAUUGUCGUCCUCCCGCCGGCGGAAAAGCCACUCAACGUAUUGCUUAAGAAUUCCUACCCAAGCCUAUAACACAAACAUAAUAACAUUGUCCUAGCAUUCCAUAGCCCUACUUGACUUGCCUACAAGUCCACAGAAACGAGUUGCCCCGGUCGGACCCUCCAAGUCUAGCCCAGUAGCUUACUGUGGGCUGACGUUAGUGAACAUGGAAUGCAAGCUGUGUGUGUGCUCAUCCCCUUUGAAAAAGGUUUGACUACGACUUGACACACAGACUCCCUCCUGCAACAAAUGUACAUUUUCCGUACGAGCGUGACGAGCAACAUAAGAGAUCCAGAACCGACCACACCGGCAGAAUUCAUCGUUCAGUUCCUUAAACCUUCAUUUACGGUUUCCCUACAAACAGCUCCAUGCCUUGGAUAUGCGUCUGUUUUCUUCCUUACGAACAUCACAUUUUACGUUCGUCAGGGUCAGAGUCUUCGUAGCAAUCUUUCAUAUUCAGCACGUAAUGAUCCAAUCAUGGACACCAGCUGCAUUAGCCUGGCUUGUCGUCCUCGCGGCAGCCUGGGCAAAUGGCCCAACGCGAUUUAAGUAUGCUGCUGCUUGCGGCCAAGAAACAAGCAUUCCAAAACUGUCAUAUCAUCCCCUGGUUUCGUUGUAUUUGGUUAAGCAGCCCCUCGCACAAAUGUGUCCGGUCGUACUUCGCGAAUAAACCGUUCGUACAUCGUCCAAAAAAGCCAGGAGCGAAAUUCACCGCGCGGAUGCGCGCGUGGGAUUCACAAAAUGCGCCUGUACAAGUGUAUAUAUUUUUUCUUGGCGGAAAGGACCAGGCGCGCCAGCGCGUUGCGCAGGUGGGCAUGUUGGCCAAAGCCGCACGCGGCAUGCAUGCUGGACUAUUGCGUGGCUGCUUUGCAGUAACUAAAAGCACCGAAAGCCAACGUCGUAGCUUGCAACUCUGGGCUCGUGAAACUGCCGCGGAAGAUGAAGCGCUGGCGAAGAGGCAAUUGUAUGCAGCACCUUGUUCAGAGUAAAGUCAAAUUACAAAGUUGCGCAAAGUAUAACAUACAUAAACUUAAUUAAACAUAAGAACAGAUAAGACGUUUAGAGCCUUGUCGGUGACAUGGACGCCGCUGUUGGCUUGGAACAGCUAUUUGCUGUGCAUAGGGACGUGCCCGCGUUAGCCGUGUUGCAACAGUCUCAGGAUGGAUUUCAGCCAGCAACAGCCUCAAGAGCUGCUGCACAACCACCGGGAAUGUCUUCAGUUGAGCACGUGUAGUUUUGGUCGGCGGGGUCGAGCAACGUACGCAAUGCGCACAGAAACCAAGGUGCAGCGUUCUGUAACAUCGCCAACAUAUCCGGUACGCGGUGGCAGGCUUGCCGAACUCGAAAUGAAGGGGGGGUCGCAUCUCACCAUUCAACUAAGCAUGCAUGUGCUCGGUUGAAUGCUCGGUAGCGUGCGAGUUUACCCCUAUUAGGAUGCUUGUUUGCAUAUCCCUCCAAGCGAGAGGGCUUGGACCUAUGCUGAUGUUCGUUCCAAGAAGUGAACUGAGGACUGAUGCUACGGUGAAAGAUUUGCACGUAAAUUCGCCCGUGCAAUAAAUCGCCCUGUAACUCGCUUACGCUAAUCUCACAUUCCAAUAUGCCACUGCACUUUCCUCUCCAGCCUGGCCACAUUCUCUUCCUCGCAAACGUACUUGGGCACCUUACAAUCCAACACCAUACGGGCUUUGGAAACGCGGGCAGCUGCUUCACAAGGACCCCCCUAUUUAAGCAGCCUCUCGCACAAAUGUGUCCGGUCGUACUUCGCGAAUAGAGAAUCCGUACAUCUCGUCCCAAAAGUCAGGAGCGAAUUUUGCCGCGCAGAUGCGCGCGUGCGAUUCGCAAAAUGCGCCUGUACAAAUGUAUAUAAAAUUUCUUGGCGGAUGAGGACCAGGUGCGCCAGCGCGUUGCGCAGGUGAGCAUGUUGGCCAUAGCCGCACGCUGAACUAUUGCGUGGAUGCUUUGCAGUAACUAAAAGCACCGAAAGCCAACGUCGUAGCUUGCAACUCUGGGCUCGUGAAACUGCCGCGGAAGAUGAAGCGCUGGCGAAGAGGCAGUUGUAUGCAGCACCUUGUUCAGAGUAAAGUCAAAUUACAAAGUUGCGCAUAGUAUAACAUACAUAAACUUAAUUAAACAUAAGAACAGAUAAGACGUUUAAAGCCUUGUCGGUGACAUGGACGCCGCUGUUGGCUUGGAACAGCUACCGUAGUGACAGGAAAUGUUCGUGAUUUUAUUGUUCGAGACACCCUCAAAAUUACACCCGAAAUUAUUGGUGAAACUUUUGAAUUCGUGAGAAGCCAACGCAACCGAAGCAACGGUGCCUGCAAUAUUCGUUAAUGGGUCCGACUCAGAACGCCGAUUGACGCAAAAGCUGGCCAAUGCAUGCACGGUUAUUCUGCACACCAGCAAACACCAGAUUCCAGAUUAGUGUGCGUAGUCGGCAAGGCGCGCGGGGGCCCUCAACUGCCUGGCCGUUCGCCUCAGUCCGCAUUGAAGGAGGCUUUGUUGCUUAGGCCGCUUAGCCCUCGGAUCCAUGUCCGUUCAAUUACUAUGGAUGUAUAUAUGGCCAGAAAAGUGGAAUUUGUCGAGUAAUUACUGUGUUGAAGGCAUUAUACGAUUUGGCUUCGGAGCACACAUAUAUUCGUGACGACCAUCGCCUGGAACAGCUUGUAAUUUAUAUGUGACAUAAUUUCGUGAUGCCGUCACGAAAUUAAAAUCACGAACAUUUCCUGUCACUACGGUAUUUGCUGUGCAUAGGACGUGCCCGCGUUAGCCGUGUUGCAACAGCUCAGGAUGGAUUUCAGCCAGCAACAGCCUCAAGAGCUGCUGCACAACCACCGGGAAUGUCUUCAGUUGGGCACGUGUAGUUUUGGUCGGCGGGGUCGAGCAACGUACGUAAUGCGCACAGAAACCAAGGUGCAGCGUUCUGUAACAUCGCCAACAUAUCCGGUACGCGGUGGCAGGCUUGCCGAGCACGAAAUGAAGGGGGGGUCGCAUCUCACCAUUCAACUAAGCAUGCAUGUGCUCGGUUGAAUGCUCGGUAGCGUGCGAGUUUACCCCUAUCAGGAUGUUUGUUUGCAUAUCCCCCCAAGCGAGAGGGCUUGCACCUAUGCUGAUGUUCGUUCCAAGAAGUGAACUCAGGACUGAUGCUACGGUGAAAGAUUUGCACGUAAAUUCGCCCGUGCAAUAAAACACCCUGUAACUCGCUUACGCUAAUCUCACAUUCCAAUAUGCCACUGCACUUUCCUCUCCAGCCUGGCCACAUUCUCUUCCUCGAAAACGUACUUGGGCACCUUACAAUCCAACACCAUACGUGCUUUGAAAACGCGGGCAGCUGCUUCACAAGGACCCCCCUAUUUUGCAUACAAGUCGACGUGGAUACUACCUGCUGUGACCGCCGUAUCAGAAGACACUUUUCCUGUACGGGCGGAACCAACAACAGCGAAGUUCAAAAAACCCGACUAGUAGCUAAAACUCAGCAUUCAUAGAGUUAAACGUCCCCGUCCGUGACUUGUACAUAACAAUCCAAGCAUCUCCUAAGCGUCUUUCUCCCCCUUCGUAAGGCCAUCGCGUCCACCAACGCACGUCUUACAUCCGCCCAGUACAGUGCCGUUGAAGCUGUGACGAGUAAUAUGAACGCUUAAGUAAUUCAUGAACAUCCGCUGCGUUUGCCUAGCAUUGUCGUAAAGGAGGUCGCGUCGGCAUCAGGCCAUCAACGUUGCGCCCAGGACAACACUUGCUGCAGCCAAGAAACAGAAAGUAUAUCUCUAUUCGUUCAUCCCCUUGGUCUUAGGGUUGCCCCUAAGACGACGUACAUACCACCUCCUGACACCGCCGUACCGGAAAGCACUUUUCCGGUACGGGCAGAGCCAGCAGCAUUCCAGGUUCAGAAUUGAACCCAAAGGCAGAAAUCACCAUUCUGAGAGUUGAACGUCGCCAUCCAUGAUUUAGACAUACCAUUCCAUGGCCUGUGCAUGCGCGUCCAUGUCCUUCACUACGUUGCUGCUUGCGGCCAAGAAACAAGUGAUGCAAAACGUUGCCUCAUGUCCAUCCGUCCGGUCCACACACGUAAGAGCAAUUUUCCAUAACACGGGAUGUAAGCACCGUUCGGGAUGUCCGUCGUGUUUGCCUCAGGAAGUCGUCCUCCCGGCGGCGGAUCGGGCCCUAAGCACCGGCCGGUACCAGCUGGUACCAGCUCCUGGAGCCGCUUAAUCGAUGCUGAUCGUGAUGUGUAAUUGGUCCAGCAUAAAGCACAUUCUUCAUCAUCCGGAAGGGAUCCCUUAGCCAUAGUACAUGUAAAGGAUGCGCAGGACAAGCAGUGUAAGAGGUAAUCGGAAAAGAACGCAAAAAAGACUGUUCCGUCCAAAUAGCUAACAAGCUGUACCUUAGCGGAAUGCAGGGCGCUUCUAACAUACAUGCCACCCUUUGGAAGUCAUGUUGUAGGCUUGUCCUGUUUGGUUUAUGUUAGCAUUGCAUUAAGAAGUUCAACGUGAUACCUGCAGGUUAACUGUUUACUGAUAAUUAGUUAUUCGGCGGCGUGCGCAUAUCAUUCCCUUACUUCGCCGGCAGGUCCAUGGAAAGUCCCCGAAAAGAUUACAUAACGUUGCAAAACUCCUUUCAGUGCUUUCGGAAAGAGGCCCUAGAUCUUGAGACCCUGGUAAGCCAGAAAUCUCUGACGGCUAGCGCUGUAAGCGCACCUUUUCCAUCUCCUGUAUUUUCAAAGCAUACACACGAGCGAUACUUAAGAAUACGAAAAUUUUAAACAGUUUAACAGUUCAUGUGGAAGCGUUUGCGGUGCAACUGGCGCGAACAGGACACCAGAGGUCACAGGAAUUACAGCUCUUAUGACUACUAGCAGUAUGUGUGCGUGGUUGUUACAGCAGUAGAUCUUAGGGACGAGGGGUACCUGACGGCAAUGCAUGGGCUCCAUCGAUGCAUGUGCCUCGGCAUGAAGGGUGAAUACAAUACGUUUCAUAUGCACAGACCUCAUAGUUUGCAGCAUUUUAAGGGAGGUCAAAUGUGUUUCGCACGCAGCAGCUAGUGCAGCUUUGGCCCGAACACUGUAUAUACGAGCGGCCUACAUAAAGGCAUACCUGUAUACAACGAUUAUAGGCUCUCACAGCUUUCUUGCGUACACAUGGUAACCUAUAGCCUACAGGCCUAUAGACCAUGCUGUAUACAACAGAUCGCCUAUAGGUGUGUUGUAUACGAUCAUAUACGCGAAAUCACCUAUACUCCACAUAUUCCGCGGUCCUACCUAUUAGGCGAUGGCCCGGCCUAUAGGUGACUUCCAAUUUUAGAGACGGAGACAGCCUUAGUCUUAGCUAUAGGCUAAGGAACCAUUUUCGGAAAAGUCGAGUCCAAGACUCAGACAAUUGAAUAGUAACGGCUGCCGUGCAAUGUGAGGCGAGGACCAAACAAAUGAUCGUUGAUACCAAAAUGUAACAGCCGUCCCUUACCCUAGGCUUUUCUGUGGAAGUGUUGGGUUGCAAGGCCGUGGGAGGAGAGGGCCUCGACCGCGAAGGACGGCUAAGCGUUAGGAGCGAGAAACGAUACGGGAAAUCCGAGUUUUAAGACAUACGUCGUGAACGGUGACAGCAAAGUCUUGAACCCUGAACACUGGUAUAGUGAUACGAAAGUGUCUGGCCGAAGCACUUCACCAGGGUGGCUUAAAUGCGGCCCACCUGGCGCCAUCUCCAUUCCUGGAGUCUUGCUGUCGUACGCUAGGUUGUGAUAGCGCAACAGAAAGCGAGUUCGUAAAGGUUAACGAGUAUGGUUGGUAACUACGGGACCGUACCGUUACUGUGAUUAUGCUUUGAUAGCUUAAAGAUAUCCUAAGGUAAAUGUAGCUUGCUACAUUCACUCCCUUACUAUCAUCUACUAAUCAAGGGCCAAUUUCUCCUUCUCCUUACUUAAAUAUAGUGGGUGCCUUAAAAAUGAAGGAAGAAUAUCAGUAGCGGAAUUUUUCUUGUAAAUCUUACAUUGUCACAUAAUAAUUCCAAAAACUCCCAUCGAAUUACAAAGGUUUAAAAGUAAAGCUAGGGCAGCCGCGUAAAAAUUUCAAUGAAGAAAAACUACGAGAGUAAGCUAACUACAAGCCAAUUGGCCAAAAAUUCCAAAGUUGCUUAAGCAAGAAAAAUUGCUUUAGGACCCGGAAAAAGUCCGGGCUAUUAAAGCAGCAAUUGUGAAGGCUUUC